UAGGGAAUAUUGGACAAUGGGCGCAAGCCUGAUCCAGCCAUGCUGCGUGAGUGAAGAAGGCCCUCGGGUUGUAAAGCUCUUUUGUCCGGAAAGAAAAGCAUCGGGUUAAUACCCCGGUGUUCUGACGGUACCGGAAGAAUAAGCACCGGCUAACUUCGUGCCAGCAGCCGCGGUAAUACGAAGGGUGCAAGCGUUACUCGGAAUUACUGGGCGUAAAGCGUGCGUAGGUGGUUCGUUAAGUCUGAUGUGAAAGCCCUGGGCUCAACCUUGGAAUGGCAUUGGAAACUGGCGGACUGGAGUGCGGUAGAGGGUAGCGGAAUUCCCGGUGUAGCAGUGAAAUGCGUAGAGAUCGGGAGGAACAUCCGUGGCGAAGGCGGCUACCUGGACCAGCACUGACACUGAGGCACGAAAGCGUGGGGAGCAAACA
rnacentral:rRNA from 1 species